GUACACAAAAAUGCACAUGCUGUGAGCUCGAUGAGUAGGGCGGGACACGUGGUAUCCUGUCUGAAUAUGGGGGGACCAUCCUCCAAGGCUAAAUACUCCUGACUGACCGAUAGUGAACCAGUACCGUGAGGGAAAGGCGAAAAGAACCCCGGCGAGGGGAGUGAAAAAGAACCUGAAACCGUGUACGUACAAGCAGUGGGAGCACGCUUAGGCGUGUGACUGCGUACCUUUUGUAUAAUGGGUCAGCGACUUAUAUUCUGUAGCAAGGUUAACCGAAUAGGGGAGCCGAAGGGAAACCGAGUCUUAACUGGGCGUUAAGUUGCAGGGUAUAGACCCGAAACCCGGUGAUCUAGCCAUGGGCAGGUUGAAGGUUGGGUAACACUAACUGGAGGACCGAACCGACUAAUGUUGAAAAAUUAGCGGAUGACUUGUGGCUGGGGGUGAAAGGCCAAUCAAACCGGGAGAUAGCUGGUUCUCCCCGAAAGCUAUUUAGGUAGCGCCUCGUGAAUUCAUCUCCGGGGGUAGAGCACUGUUUCGGCAAGGGGGUCAUCCCGACUUACCAACCCGAUGCAAACUGCGAAU
rnacentral:rRNA from 1 species